CUAAUUCUCUGUAAGAAUUUUAGAUGCCUUAACAAUCAGAACAUAUUUUUCACUUCUAGAGCUGAAGAUAAAUCAGUUGCACAAGCAGCUCAUGAUUUCAAGUAAAGAAGCAUCUCCUUGGAAAAUUUAAAGAUGAGUAUUAUCAAGGUUGGGUAAGAAAUGCUAAUUUUUUGUUUACUAAAGGGGCAGUCAUGAAAGCAAAGGAGGUCUUGAAGAAGAAAAGGAAGCAGUAGAGAAGAAAAAAAAAAUCAGCAUUUAAUUUCCAUCAGCUUUGUAAUAUCCUCAGGGGAAUGCCAAAAAGUAUUUUUGUUUAUUUGAAUUUCUUGCUUUGCAUCUAACUCUGUGUGUAAGAGGGUUCUGUAAGGAUUCAGUGUCUGUAAAUGCCAUGGGUGCACUUAAAUACAGGAGGAGAUGCUGAAGAGGAGGCUGAGCUCCAAAAUUUAGAGUGCCAAGGACCCAGAAAUCUGAAUAAUAGAGGUGAAACAGGCAAGUUACAGCAUUUGGGGCCAAUUAUUCAUCUUUUCACUUUCUUAAUAGGAAAAAUCAGUUUUCUGAGGCAUCAUCUCCAAGCUGGGAAACAGCAGUUUUUCCUCUUAGUUUUUCCUUCUUGAGUUCUAGCAAAUUGACCAAGCUCCAAACAAGCAAAAAUCAUAACAAAUGCAGAAGGAAAUACAUUUUAAAAAUAAACUCAGAGGCAGAAAACCUCUAUUUGGAGAUUAUUUAUACCUACCUGUGAAAACUUCCAGUCUUUUGUAAUACUGCAAGGUAAAGAGGGAAGAAUCUCCCUUUUCACAAGAGCAAAGAAAAUACCUGAACAAGCAAAGAAAAUACCUGGACUGGCUGUGGCAGAGCAGAUCUGGGUAUCUCCUCCUGCAGCCCCAGGAGCACAGGCUGGAAAAAUCACCCUAAAUCCUGUUUAAAAGGUGGAAUCUCCAUCCUACACCCAUCUAAUCCAGGGUGCUGCUGCUUGGAAUUAAACUAUCAAGUCAGGUUUUAAUAAAGCAUCAAGUACCAAAGUGCUUCAAUGCCCUUGCUGCUCCUUCCAGCCCACUCAAAGAUGCAAAGCAGAGGCAUUAACUGGUACAGAAGCCAUUAAUUUGAUUUUAGCACUAAGCAAAGCAGUAAGUAAAGCCCAGUAACUUGGAAACUGCAACAAGUUGAUGGUUUGGGAAAAUUUUUGGGCUGUUUGCAUGAGACAUACAUAUUUAUAUUAAAAUAUAGGUCAGGGACAGCUGAGAAAAUGAAUCAAACUCCUUGUUUAUCACAAGCAUAAUUAGUGCAUUAGGAAUGUAUGAAAAAUAUAUUCAUUCAAUGAAUACAUUCAGUUUGUAGCAUUUUUUUUUCCAUAAAAAUGUGAUUUGGGCACGUUUUGGACUAUCCCUUCCUCUCCAGUUACCUUCAAGCUAUUACCUGUAAUUACUAACCAAAAUCAAACCAGAAUAACAGCUCUGAAGGCAGAAAAUCAUGUGGCUUUAAGACAGCAGGGAGAUUUUCUAGAAUUCCAACAUUCAGUAAGACAUAACAAACUACAGGGCAAUUGCUUUGAUAUUAUUUUUAUUUUUUAAACUUUCUGGAGCUGGAAUUUCCAGUGUCAAGCAGUGCUGUCCUUCCCCACAGCCAGAGGGGAAAGUGGCUGGGCUUGGGGGUCUCUGGGCACUACCCCCAGAAAAACUGCCCCUAAAAAAAGCACAUUUCCUAUUCAGCUCCCUUCAAGGAACUCUCUACAACCUUGGCCCUUCCACAUCCAGCAAACCCUCUCUUCACAUAUUCCUUCUUCAUCACUUUUGGGUUGUUUUUCUGCCUUUCCUUCCUUCAUUUUGUCUUAUCCUCUUUGUGUUCUUGUGUCUUUGUAGCUCCCCCAGCCAGUUUUAUCUAAAUCCUCUGGAUGAAAGAGCUUCUUUUCCCCUCCUUAUUCCAGCCAGACUUGUCUUGUGAACAUUAUCUUUGUUUUUCCAGGGUGAGCAGACUCCAGCCUUUUCCAUGGCAGCACCAUGCCUGGCUCAGAGGGCACAUUGGGAUUCCUGCAGGCCAGGAGAGCCCCAGGUCCCUAAAGCACAUGGUGGGUGCAGCUCCUUUGCUGUUCCAGGCCACCAUAUAAAGCCAAAUUCCAGAUUUAUUACUUGAAUAACUCCCAGUUAUUCAACCCCAGACUACAGCAGCAGUACUAAAUUUUGCUGGGGUAUAAUUCUCUUGCCAGACCAUUUUAAAUUUUUGCAGCCAUUCAGGCCAAUCCCAAACCUAAAGGUGUUUACAGAGGAACAUUUUAUAAAAACCUAUCCAGGGAAUCUCUUUUUUCUUUCUCUUUAUUUUCUCCCCCUUUUUUGUGUCAGGUUUCUGUGAUGAGACUCUGCAACCUCCAACGAACACUGUAAAUCUCCAGGAGCACCACCAUAAAUAACAGGAAAAACAGUUAAAUGGAUUGAUUGGAAUAGAUGAAUUACACUGUCAGGAUGUUCCCAGUCUGGAUUUCUCUUCUCCUACAGCUUUGACUUCUCUCCACUAUUGAAAUUCACUGAGAUUUUCUCCAUUCUGUGAGGUGGCACCAGAGCACCACCUCAGCACUCACUGUUUUCAUCCCCCCCCUUUACUGAAGUUUCCCAGGGCUGUAACAAAGCCUGGUUUUUCCAACUGGAGCUCUGCUGGAAUUUCAAUUUAACCUUACUCACUUCUCAUUUCACCACUUCAGCCAGUGAUAACAAUUCCCCAAAAACUACAAUUGCAAAGCCAGUACUUCUUCCAGCAGCAAAUUCUAAUCACAGAUGCUUUAAAUUACUUUGUGUGAGGGCUCAAUUAGUGUGAGGCCCAUCCAAGUCAGCCCUUUCCCCAUCUGACUGCAGUAGGAUGGGUACAGCUACAAACACUUCACAUCAAAACAUCAGACCCAACUUUUCUAAAAAGUCCAUGACAGAGCCAGAGUGGAAAUCAAAGUCAUAACAAUCUCUGCCCUGAGGGACAAUAGUCACUAGACUGUCAGAAUGCUUUAAAUACAGAUGCAAAAUUUAUUUGGCAGUUUUAUUCUUAUUUUUAUUUAUUUAUCAUGGUGAACAGAGCUCAACACAUCAGAUACCAAAGAACUUGGUUGCCUUUCUCACAGAACGUGCCUAUCCCAAGUGCUGUGGGCAUAAAAACAAUAAAACCCUCAUGGUAGAAAGGAUGUGUUGAGGUGGCAGAGUGGGCCCUUGCAGGGAUUGGUUAAGAAAGGCAUCUCAGGAAUAUAAAAAAUGUGAAAGAAGUGAUGAAGGAAAGGUAAAGGCAAAGACAAUUCACCACAUGUCACCAGAACCAACAGGAGCCUCUGCCUUUAGGAGCAGAUGUCCCCAGCCAGAGAGAGAGAACACACACCACAACGUAACCUCUGGUUUCCCUUCAGGAGCAUGGAGCAGACAUGAGGAAGCAGGAUGGAAAACCCACCCACCUCCUCCUCAGCACCUGGGUACGUGCAUGGAAAAGUGGAACAUCCACCACAAGAAGCUCAUGCAGGGUCAACACUGCUCCAGCCUCGUGUGGACAGAACUCCAGACAGUACAGGAAUGGGAAAUACCCAACAUGGAACAGUCCCAGGAUCAGGUGGAGAAGCCCCACAAAGUCAUUCUGUGGAUGGAGAGGGGAAAUGAGGACAAGAAGGCUCAGAGAAACAAACUGCAAACCCAAAAUACGAAGAACAAACCUAGAGGCAAGGGCAAAACAAAAGAUAAGAACAGAACAAGUGAGCACAGCUGCUGCAAAAAUUACUUGCACAGAGGAUGAAAAGAAAAGGGGAUACAGGAGGGAACAAGACUGGAGAGAAAAGGAAGGAAAGGAGAAUAAAUCACACCAGCUUUUGUCAAGUUGAAGUUUUGUAUUUCACUCCUGUAUUUCCCUGGAAAAGUUUGCAGCUCCACUGCAAAUGAUCAGUCAGGAAGAGGGAGGAGGGCAAAAUCCCAGCCUGAAAGUGGAGCUAUAAAUGAAAGUUACAGAGAGCUUGUGGAAAAUAAAUUGAAAUGAUGAAGAGUUCUGGAGGAGAGGAAGGAAAGAGAUGAUGGAGACUCUUCCCUCAGGUGCACAGUGGAAGGAUGGAAAUCACCCUGGAUGGUGGGAAAUUCUGGCUUGAUGCAAGAAAACAAUUUAUUCUAACAUGAAGUGGGGGAAAAAAAAUUGGAACUGGAGCACAGAGAAGCUUCAAAACUCAACAACACCUGGAGCUGGAUCCAACCUGAGCCAAAGGCUGGACCCAGAGACUUCUGAGGGUCCUUUCCAGCCCACAGGAAUCUGUGGUUCUACCCCAGAACCCCCUGUCAGAGUGGGGAAAUCUCCAGAGUUUGGUGUAAUUUCCAACAAGAAAUUAAUCUUUCAGCUAGAGGGAUUAAAUUUGUUUUUCCCUUGGUUUCACACAAGAGAUCUGACCUUUCACAGGAGAUGUGAUUAUCAGAUGAAAACAAUGGAGCUGGGAGGGUGAAGGUCACAUCUUUGUCUCUUGAAAUAAAUUCUUCAUGUACAAUCUGAGCUGCUCAGUCACAAAUGUGCAGGCAGUCCUACUGCAGGGUGCUAACACCUUUAUCUUCAGCAUUGAAGGCAGUGAAUAAAUGAUGAGUCCAUUGGUGGAGACAUUCACCAAUUAACCAGCAGCAGCUGUUUGUCUUCUUUUCUUAGGGUACAAUUGAUUAAAAUUGCAUGCUUCAUUGAAACAGAAUUCUCUUGUACUUCACCAAAGGGGGAGAGCAAACUUCUCUUCUGAUUUAUAGAACAUAUUUCCAGCUGAAUACAAAUUAGAAACCUAUUCUGCUUUGUUGUUUAUAAUGUGCAGGCAUGAUAUGAAAAACCAGAGGUAAAAUAUUUUGAGUGUUAAUCAGACAUAAACUGUAACAAAGGCCAGUUGGUGCAAGAAUUUAUUUCAGGAUUAAACCAUCCUUCUUGUCCUACUUAUUCCACAUGUGGAUUUACAGAGACCCACACACCAUGUAUGUGGAUAUAUGAGAUAGCUACAGCUAAAGUAGGAAAGGGAUUUUUGAUUUGUGCUGGUGUGAGAUAUAAAAGCUCAAAUGCAGUUAAAAAGUGUCCAAAGAGGGGGAAAAGCUGGUGCUGACACCUCAGCCCUCCAGCAGAGCAGAGAUGCAGUGCCUGAGGGCUGAAGGAAUGAAGCACAGCAGAAACAAGGUGUUAACCCUUUGGAACAGGGUUCAUCUCUGAUUGGAACUUGAUUAAUCUCUGCAAUAAUUUACCUUCUGCUGCACUGGGUUCUCCACACUUGUUCCACUCCAGCCAUGAGCAGGGAUUUGUAAAGAAAAUCCUAUUUUAGGUUAUGGCAGAGAUGAGAUCCUGGGAUGGUCUGAGCACAGUGCCCAAUACUUCUCAACUAAAAAAAUCAGUUUAACCAAGCUCUGAUUACUUGGGAAGCUGAAAGUUUGUAACAAAUGCAAGAAGAAAUAAAUCUCAGCUUUGCAAGCUCUGCUUCAAAACAAA